ACACGACUACAUUAGAUACCCGGGUAGUCCUAGCCGUAAACGAUACUCGCUAGGUGUCGGCCACGGUGCGACCGUUGUCGGUGCCGUAGGGAAGCCGUGAAGCGAGCCACCUGGGAAGUACGGCCGCAAGGCUGAAACUUAAAGGAAUUGGCGGGGGAGCUCAACAACGGGUGGAGCUUGCGGUUUAAUUGGAUUCAACGCCGGAAAUCUUACCGGGACCGACAGCAACAUGAAGGCCAAGCUGAAGACUUUGCCGGAUUAGCUG
rnacentral:rRNA from 1 species